UGCAUGUGUGUGUGUUGAGUUCCCCAACAGCAGUGACCCUGAUGAACUGACGACCUUUUAAACUUUGAGGUAAAUAAACCAGUUUCCAGUCUCCUGUCUUCUUUCCGGGGCAGCACGCUGACAGUCUGUGCAUCACAGAAAGUCUUCAUAAAGCCCUCAGCUUAAACUUUUUGUCAGGAGGUGGAGAUAAGGGACCAGCAGACUGCAGCAAAGCCAGACACCACUCUCCCAGCGUGGGGUGGAAGCAGUGGAGUGAACGGUGUGAAGGUGACAGUGUGAUUCGGAGCCUAAUUUGAAUCCAAAAUGUGMUGUUCUAAAGUACACAAUGUGCUACACCGAGGACAGAUAAAGCAUGUGAUUUUGAUUAUGAAAUUAAACAUUCUCCCUGUCAUGAACCAGACUGUUUUAUUUGCUCAUAAACACACAAGGAGAGAAUAAGGUA